rnacentral:rRNA from 1 species
GAUGAACGCUGGCGGCGUGCCUAAUACAUGCAAGUCGAGCGAACGGACGAGAAGCUUGCUUUUCUGAUGUUAGCGGCGGACGGGUGAGUAACACGUGGAUAACCUACCUAUAAGACUGGGAUAACUUCGGGAAACCGGAGCUAAUACCGGAUAAUAUUUUGAACCGCAUGGUUCAAAAGUGAAAGACGGUCUUGCUGUCACUUAUAGAUGGAUCCGCGCUGCAUUAGCUAGUUGGUAAGGUAACGGCUUACCAAGGCAACGAUGCAUAGCCGACCUGAGAGGGUGAUCGCCCACACUGGAACUGAGACACGGUCCAGACUCCUACGGGAGGCAGCAGUAGGGAAUCUUCCGCAAAGGGCGAAAGCCUGACGGAGCAACGCCGCGUGAGUGAUGAAGGUCUUCGGAUCGUAAAACUCUGUUAUUAGGGAAGAACAUAUGUGUAAGUAACUGUGCACAUCUUGACGGUACCUAAUCAGAAAGCCACGGCUAACUACGUG